GAGAGUUAAACAGUACGUGAAAUUGUUGAAAGGGAAACGAUUGAAGUCAGUCGUGCUGGCGCGAAAUCAGCUCGACCACUAGGGGAUCACGGGCCGUAGCGAGCCUCAAAACCGUUACGACUUGUGAUUGCUUAGUGGCCUGGUGCACUUUCGUGUCGGCUGGUUAACAUCAAUUUCGAUCGUCAUAAAAAGGCUGGAGGGAUGUGGCUCCUUCGGGAGUGUUAUAACCUUUGGCGGAAUGUGGUGGUCGGGAUUGAGGCUUGCAACGAAUACCUUCAGGGCUGUUCCACCUGGCCUCUCGUCGGCAUCCUGGCGACGACAGCUUGCUGACGUUGUUAGGACCAGCUUUCGAACAGGCUAGAGUGUGAGCAAAUUCGUUAAGGAUGUUAACGUAAUGGCUUUAAACGA
rnacentral:rRNA from 1 species